rnacentral:rRNA from 1 species
UACGGAGGGUGCAAGCGUUAUCCGGAUUCACUGGGUUUAAAGGGUGCGUAGGCGGAUUAGUAAGUCCGUGGUGAAAUCUCCAAGCUUAACUUAGAAACUGCCGUGGAUACUAUUAGUCUUGAAUGUUGUGGAGGUUAGCGGAAUAUGUCAUGUAGCGGUGAAAUGCAUAGAUAUGACAUAGAACACCAAUUGCGAAGGCAGCUGGCUACACAAAUAUUGACGCUGAUGCACGAAAGCGUGGGGAUCAAACAGG